AUCACUGUGAAUUAUAGGAUAUUUUUUCUAUUCCUGUGAAAAAUCCCAUUGCAAUUUUGAUAGGAAUUGCACUGAAUCUGGAGAUAGCUUUGGGUAGUAUGGACAUUUUAACAAUAUUAAUUCU